UGGGAUGGGGAUGGGAUGAGAUUGGGAUUGGGAUUAGGAUGGGAUCGGGGUUGGGAGGGGAUGAGAUUGGGAUUGGGAUUAGGAUGGGAUUGGGGUUGGGAUGAGAUUGGGAUUGGGAUUAGGAUUGGAUUGGGGUAGGAUGGGAUUGGGAUGGGAUGGGAUUGGGGUUGGGAUGGGAUUGGGGUAGGAUGGGGAUGGGAUUGGGAUUGGGAUUGGGACUAGGAUGGGACUGGGGUAGGAUGGGGAUGGGAUGAGAUUGGGGUUGGGGUUAGGAUGGGAUCGGGGUUGGGAUGAGAUUGGGAUUGGGAUUAGGAUGGAAUUGGGGUUGGGAUGAGAUUGGGAUUGGGGUUAGGAUGGGAUUGGGGUAGAAUGGGGAUGGGAUUGGGAUUGGGAUUGGGAUUAGGAUGGGAUUGGGAUGGGAUGAGAUUGGGAUUGGGAUUAGGAUGGGAUUGGGAUGAGAUUAGGAUUGAGAUUAGGAUGGGAUUGGGAUGGGAUGAGAUUGGGGUUGGGAUGGGAUUGGGAUGGGAUUGGGAUGGAGCUGGGACUGAGAUAUUGGGAUGGGAUUGGGAUUAGGAUGGGAUUGGGGUAGGAUGGGAAUGGGAUUGGGAUGGAAUGAGAUUGGGAUGGGGAUUAGCAUGGGAUUGGGGUUGGGAUGAGAUUGGAAUGACGAUGGGACUGAGAU
ensembl:lncRNA